CAGCUAUGAAUAUAUAUAGUACAAUCUAAAAUACCCAGCUGCUCUGAGAGGUACUCUAAAAUGUGGCCUAAUUUCCCACUAGCUUUCUUAGUUCCUCAAUUAGCCAGUUCCUUUUGAUUUGGGAAUCAGAGACUCCCUGGUUACUCAGGAUAAAGAAGGUUUAUAAGUAGAACAACUCAAGGACUGAGGUAGCUCUAGGGACAAGCUUUUUUUAAAUUUAUUUUCUUAGGAGCCCCACAGUUUCUCUUUGUGGAGCCAACAUACAAGUUUUUGGCAGUUACUAUGGAAUAGCUAAUCUUUAAUCCAAUGAGGGGCACUUGGAGACAAGAACACCUGGUAAUAAUUAUGUUUACCCAAGAGAAAGCCAUGGGUAAGGGCUGGAUACACAAGUGACCUCCAAGAAAAGGGAGCCCCAGCUGGUGAGUCAGGACUGUGCUGGCAGAACCCGUGGAAGAUCCUGGAAAAUAAAAUUCUUUAGGAAAGCCGAUUAUUCUUUUCUGUGGAAAAUGCCAGGUUGUAAAAACAGAGACUGGAUGGCUGAAUUUACAGCAGGUAUUUUGUAUGCAUUCCACCACUUGAUCUCAUAGUCUGUGAUAAGAAUGAGUUUACUGCUUACUAGCUGUCAUAUUAUGGAGGUACAAAUGUUAAGAUUAUCUAUAU